UACGGAGGGUGCAAGCGUUAUCCGGAUUCACUGGGCUUAAAGGGUGCGUAGGUGGGCUGGUAAGUCAGUGGUGAAAUCUCCGAGCUUAACUUGGAAACUGCCAUUGAUACUAUUAAUCUUGAAUAUUGUGGAGGUCAGCGGAAUAUGUCAUGUAGCGGUGAAAUGCUUAGAGAUGACAUAGAACACCAAUUGCGAAGGCAGCUGGCUACACAUAUAUUGACACUGAGGCACGAAAGCGUGGGGAUCAAACAGG
rnacentral:rRNA from 1 species